rnacentral:ncRNA from 1 species
UAUAAGUUUGAUUCUUGCUUAAGUUUUUUAUAAUAUGAUUUGUAAACACAUGUAAAUUUUGGUAUGUUAUUUUAAGUCAUGAUAUUUAAUAUAUUAUGAUUAAGAAUAUUUAGUAUAAUAAAAUAUAAUUAUGAGUUUAAGUCGCAGUGUAAAAUAUUAGAAUAUUAGUGAAAACUAGAUUUAGAAAUUGUAAAAAAUCUGACCAAAUAUUUGUGCCAGCAGUCGCGGUUAUACUUUAAGGUUAAGUAAAAAUAUAUUAGUAAAGUAGUUAAUUGAUAAAUUUAUGUAAUAGUUAUAUUUAUAUUAAUAAAAGGUGAAAUUGAUUAUGUUAAAUAGUAAAUGUAAUUGUUAAAUGAAUAAAGUGAAGCUAUAAAAAUUAAGAUAUGAACUAGGAUUAGAUACCCUAUUACAUUUAAAAGUAAAAAUAUAGACUUGAAUAUUAAUAGUUAUUUUCUUUAAAAUCAAAGAAUUUGGCGGUAAUUUAGUCUUGUUAGAGGAACCUGUUUUAUAAACGAUAAAUCACGCAAUAUCUUACUUAUUUUUGUAAUAAAUUUCAGUUUGUAUACCUUCAUUAUUAAAUAAUUUUGAAAAAAAUAAUUAUUGGAAUUGAUAAUUAAUUUAAGAAUAUUAGAUCAAGGUGCAGCUUAUAAAUAAGUAAAAAUGGGUUACAAUAAUAUAUAAUUAUACGGAUAAUAAAAAGAAUAAUUUAUUUAAAGGUGGAUUUAAUUGUAAAAGUGUUUUAAUAAGUCUCUUUGAUAUUAGCUCUAAGUUAUGUACAUAUCGCCCGUCACUUUCAUUUAAAAUGAAAUAAGUCGUAACAUAGUAGGUGUACUGGAAAGUGUACCUAGAAAUAUAG